GUCACCCCGCCACUGGAUGUGGAGGAGUGCAGCAUUGCCCUGUUGCCCCGGAACCGCGACAAGAACCGCAGCAUGGACGUCCUGCCGCCCGACCGCUGCCUGCCCUUCCUCAUCUCCACUGAUGGGGACCCCAACAACUACAUUAAUGCAGCCCUGACUGAUAGCUACACACGGAGCGCAGCCUUCAUCGUGACCCUGCACCCGCUGCAGAGCACCACGCCCGACUUCUGGCGGCUGGUCUACGAUUACGGGUGCACCUCCAUCGUCAUGCUCAACCAGCUGAACCAGUCCAACUCCGCCUGGCCCUGCCUGCAGUACUGGCCAGAGCCAGGCCGGCAGCAAUAUGGCCUCAUGGAGGUGGAGUUUAUGUCAGGCACAGCAGAUGAAGACUUAGUGGCUCGAGUCUUCCGGGUGCAGAACAUCUCUCGGUUGCAGGAGGGGCACCUGCUGGUGCGGCACUUCCAGUUCCUGCGCUGGUCUGCAUACCGGGACACGCCUGACUCCAAGAAGGCCUUCCUGCACUUGCUGGCUGAGGUGGACAAGUGGCAGGCCGAGAGUGGGGAUGGGCGCACCAUUGUGCACUGCCUAAACGGGGGAGGACGCAGCGGCACCUUCUGCGCCUGCGCCACGGUCCUGGAGAUGAUCCGCUGCCACAACUUGGUGGACGUUUUCUUUGCUGCCAAAACCCUCCGGAA
rnacentral:sRNA from 1 species